GGUUAUUUGAGUGUGCUGGUUGUUUGGAUCUGGAUAAAAGGGAGCUGAGUUUCUACCUUAUUCAUCCAGCUAUCUGAGAGAAUCCAAAGAUUCUUUGUGUGGAAGAAAACUUCCAUUUUGAUUGGGAGUCCACAAGGACCAACUCCUUCACAUUAUCCAUGAUUGAGGAUUAGAACAACAUGCCGCAGACAAGCU
rnacentral:lncRNA from 1 species